GAAGAGCGGAAUGAUAUCUAUGAUGCUGCCUGUGUGGAGGAACAGUGGAUCGGUCCCCUGCUGAGAUUGUUCCCCAAUGUUGAAUUUCUCGCGGACCCGCUUACUUUGAAAAUGUCCUGUGAGAGUCAGGUCAAGAAAGCUCCGAUCAAAACCACAAAGCCCCAGGAGUUAUGUCUCACCGAACCCAAACCACAACCUCCUCCGAUGGCAAAGCUCAUCCCAGAGCAGAAAAAAUGCAAACCGGUACCAAUCACCACAUACAGAACUCCAAAGCAGCAGCAGAUAAGACAGAAGAACUUGCGCCGCGCAUAUCUUCCCAAGUAGAGCUGCCGCCCUAACUAGGUGACAGAGGCUAUGUGGUUUUUCUUCCACUUUCCACAAUUCAUUUAUUUUAUGGUUGGGUAAUAUUGCUCAAGUGUCAUUACACACUAC